AUAAAACUGAUCUUGACUCUGUAAUGUGGAGUGAAGAAAAAGCAAGUAAAAAAAUGUACUGGGAAGGAAAGAAACCGAACACCAAGCAGAGAGAGGUCAUCUGUGUGAGACCCUGAUGUUGUGAGCAGUCAGGAUAACUAGCUAAGAACAUAAACUGUGAUUAACAUGCAAGCAAAGAAUAAAAGGGGCUCUUCAGGCAGCAGUUGCCAUCACUGGCUGGGUGAGGAGGGCUUCACCUCUUGGUGUCAUCUCUUAUUUGGCCCUGAGGAUAAUGAGCUGAAUGCAAGAUGGAUGACUCACAUGGAGCACCAUUCAAUUUGAAGAACUCCAAGCAAAAAAGAAAGCCUUGAAAUGAGAAACCUGAAAAUAAAUCAGGA